rnacentral:lncRNA from 1 species
UUUAAAAUCUGAAAUUCUAAAAUAUAAUGUAUUGAUAUCAUAAUAUGUUGUUUAAAAAAAUUUACAAAGAAAAAAAGAAAUAAAGAAAAUGACUGUUUUUAUGGACAAAUAUGUGUUAAAUUUAUGAAGAAAAAAAACACAAAUUGUGAAAAUAACGUAGAGCUACUUUUGCUAGAUACAUAUAACCUAUUAGAUGGAUACAUGGGAAAAGAGCUAUGUUCGCUUUGAACAUUAUAGGAUGGGAUGAAACACUCCAAAUUGAUGUAUUUGAAUGAAAAUGACACAUACUUAUACAUAUUACUUAGCUACUUAAAGCAUUUGUUUAACAUAGAAGCCUUCCCAAGGUGACUAUGUUUACUACACCAAAUCAGCACAAGUAGAAUGAUUUAUACUUAUUUUAUACCUCGUUUUUAAAAUUAAAUAUAUGCGUUAAACACUAAAACAAGAAAAUAUGCGAAUUUUUUAUGAAUAAUUAUAUUGACUUAAAUUAUAAUGUAUUGAUAUUUAAGUUUUUUAAAAUCUGAAAUUCUAAAAUAUAAUGUAUUGAUAUCAUAAUAUGUUGUUUAAAAAAAUUUACAAAGAAAAAAAGAAAUAAAGAAAAUGACUGUUUUUAUGGACAAAUAUGUGUUAAAUUUAUGAAGAAAAAAAACACAAAUUGUGAAAAUAACGUAGAGCUACUUUUGCUAGAUACAUAUAACCUAUUAGAUGGAUACAUGGGAAAAGAGCUAUGUUCGCUUUGAACAUUAUAGGAUGGGAUGAAACACUCCAAAUUGAUGUAUUUGAAUGAAAAUGACACAUACUUAUACAUAUUACUUAGCUACUUAAAGCAUUUGUUUAACAUAGAAGCCUUCCCAAGGUGACUAUGUUUACUACACCAAAUCAGCACAAGUAGAAUGAUUUAUACUUAUUUUAUACCUCGUUUUUAAAAUUAAAUAUAUGCGUUAAACACUAAAACAAGAAAAUAUGCGAAUUUUUUAUGAAUAAUUAUAUUGACUUAAAUUAUAAUGUAUUGAUAUUUAAGUUUUUUAAAAUCUGAAAUUCUAAAAUAUAAUGUAUUGAUAUCAUAAUAUGUUGUUUAAAAAAAUUUACAAAGAAAAAAAGAAAUAAAGAAAAUGACUGUUUUUAUGGACAAAUAUGUGUUAAAUUUAUGAAGAAAAAAAACACAAAUUGUGAAAAUAACGUAGAGCUACUUUUGCUAGAUACAUAUAACCUAUUAGAUGGAUACAUGGGAAAAGAGCUAUGUUCGCUUUGAACAUUAUAGGAUGGGAUGAAACACUCCAAAUUGAUGUAUUUGAAUGAAAAUGACACAUACUUAUACAUAUUACUUAGCUACUUAAAGCAUUUGUUUAACAUAGAAGCCUUCCCAAGGUGACUAUGUUUACUACACCAAAUCAGCACAAGUAGAAUGAUUUAUACUUAUUUUAUACCUCGUUUUUAAAAUUAAAUAUAUGCGUUAAACACUAAAACAAGAAAAUAUGCGAAUUUUUUAUGAAUAAUUAUAUUGACUUAAAUUAUAAUGUAUUGAUAUUUAAGUUUUUUAAAAUCUGAAAUUCUAAAAUAUAAUGUAUUGAUAUCAUAAUAUGUUGUUUAAAAAAAUUUACAAAGAAAAAAAGAAAUAAAGAAAAUGACUGUUUUUAUGGACAAAUAUGUGUUAAAUUUAUGAAGAAAAAAAACACAAAUUGUGAAAAUAACGUAGAGCUACUUUUGCUAGAUACAUAUAACCUAUUAGAUGGAUACAUGGGAAAAGAGCUAUGUUCGCUUUGAACAUUAUAGGAUGGGAUGAAACACUCCAAAUUGAUGUAUUUGAAUGAAAAUGACACAUACUUAUACAUAUUACUUAGCUACUUAAAGCAUUUGUUUAACAUAGAAGCCUUCCCAAGGUGACUAUGUUUACUACACC